rnacentral:lncRNA from 1 species
GUCACUCGAACAGGGCUACGAAAUCGUUCUACUGGACAUCGGCGGUGGGAAUUCAUUUUUGAGGUCAAUUUCCAAUCGAGAUAAAUCUAUUGGAUUAGUAGGAUUAUCUGAUUGCAGCUGAAAGAAGUAACCUUGUUUGAUCAUUUGUAUUUCUUGCCUGAUGGUCGGUUUUACACGGAGGUGGCUUUGGGUCCCCAGGACUGUGGAUCGUGGUAGCAUCUGGAAAGAAAAAAGGAUCAAUCGAGACGUUUUGGAAGUGUCUCUUGAAUUUGACGGCGAAGUCUUGUGCAAACUGUCUCCUUGAAUUAUUGGAAGGGGAAUAGGGGAAGAUGAGGGGCUCCCCUCCGUGGAUUUACU